ensembl:lncRNA LINC01255 long intergenic non-protein coding RNA 1255
GGUAUAUCCAGGACAUCAGCACAUAGAACCAGUGAAAGGGUCCUCCCUCAUAGUGACGCAUGUCAUAGACUCAGAUUUAUACAAACAAAUGCUGAGCAAACCAUGAAGAGUCUCUGGUAUUUUCAACAAUAUCAUCACAGAGGAACUGUAUUGAUUUCCUUACACAACCCUCCAUCCAUCUGAGUGAUCCUGGAAGGACUCAUGGAAUAGUGAGACGGGGAGCGGUUCAACAGACCAUCAACGGCAGGUCUGUCUUGUCCAUUCCUCAACAAAUGCUGAAGUGCCUCAGCUGCGGCCCCACGCUCAGGUUCCAGCCAAGGCUGACUUCACUGGAGCAUGCUGCGCUCAGCAAAGACAGCGACAAGGAUCCCAUCAUUCGACCACACAGCAAUACUGGAGGAGGCAAGACCUAAUUCAUCUACAAUACUUGGCCCACUGUUUUAAUCACUGCGACAACCAAAUAAAAUCGUUAGGUAUCUAA